AUUGAACGCUGGCGGCAUGUUUUACACAUGCAAGUCGAACGGUAACAGGCCUUCGGGUGCUGACGAGUGGCGAACGGGUGAGUAAUGCAUCGGAACGUGCCCAGAGGUGGGGGAUAACGCAGCGAAAGCUGUGCUAAUACCGCAUGUGAUCUGAGGAUGAAAGCGGGGGACCAAGCAGCAAUGUUUGGCCUCGCGCCUCUGGAGCGGCCGAUGUCAGAUUAGGUAGUUGGUGGGGUAAAGGCCUACCAAGCCGACGAUCUGUAGCUGGUCUGAGAGGACGACCAGCCACACUGGGACUGAGACACGGCCCAGACUCCUACGGGAGGCAGCAGUGGGGAAUUUUGGACAAUGGGCGCAAGCCUGAUCCAGCAAUGCCGCGUGCGGGAAGAAGGCCUUCGGGUUGUAAACCGCUUUUGUACGGAACGAAAAGGCUCUGGCUAAUACCUGGGGCUGAUGACGGUACCGUAAGAAUAAGCACCGGCUAACUACGUG
rnacentral:rRNA from 1 species